GAAAUGCGAUAAGUAAUGUGAAUUGCAGAAUUCAGUGAAUAAUCGAAUCUUUGAACGCACAUUGCGCCCCCUGGUAUUCCGGGGGGCAUGCCUGUUCGAGCGUCAUUUCACCACUCAAGCCUCGCUUGGUAUUGGGCGACGCGGUCCGCCGCGCGCCUCAAAUCGACCGGCUGGGUCUUCCGUCCCCUCAGCGUUGUGGAAACUAUUCGCUAAAGGGUGCCGCGGGAGGUCACGCCGCAAAACAACCCCAUUUCUAAGGUUGACCUCGGAUCAGGUAGGGAUACCCGCUGAACUUAAGC
rnacentral:misc_RNA from 1 species